rnacentral:lncRNA from 1 species
GGAGCCUACCUUUACUUAGCCUCACAACAUGGGCCUUAGCUUUAGCACUUAAUCUGCACAAAUACCUGGCUUAAGUGUUAUGACUGACUGGCUAUUCAACCAAACCAUACAAAUGACCAAUUCGGUAAGAAAGCAUGAACUUCAGUGUUGAACCAAAUCAACCAACCUCCUCAAUCCAAAUGAACAAUGCUAUUCUAGGAGUCUGUGCUAGAAUAAAAUCCUAAUGCAAAGGCUGUCUUAAAAUGCUGAACCCAGAAGAAUUUGGCAUAAAUAAGACAUGGAGUUAGCUGACAUGAGAUAUUACAUUUAUUCCACUGUUGACGAGGACAAAACUGGGCCGCUAUUGUCACAGGAGAGGAUAACAAAGGAAGCUGAGGAAGUCUGUUCUGGAGGCACCAUGACAAAGCACCAGACAGAAAGCAGUCACGUGUGGGGAGAUGAGCAGAGACACCACUUCUCAAGCACCUGAUUAUUCUUUCUCAGUAUUUAGAAGCAAAAAUUAUCCUUAAGAAAAACAACCGCAAACGCAACACAGGCUACACAGAUGAGAAAAUGGGAUUUCAAGAGAGAAGGCUGAAAAGGAAGGUGACUGGAAUAUUAAGAACUGUGAGAUAUUCUGAGGAAACUCUAAUUUGUAAAUUGGUAGAAAUGCCAGUAAUUUGUUGGGAAUUGAAGACCCUCUGUAUUCAAGAGCGAAGCUUGGCAGCUGUGCACUGUUGUUUUAUAAAUCAAUAUUACAUC